UACGUAGGGGGCAAGCGUUGUCCGGAAUCAUUGGGCGUAAAGAGCGUGUAGGCGGCCAGAUAAGUCCGCUGUGAAAUCUCGAGGCUCAACCUCGAGACGUCGAUGGAAACCAUUUGGCUAGAGUCCGGAAGAGGAGAGUGGAAUUCCUGGUGUAGCGGUGAAAUGCGCAGAUAUCAGGAAGAACACCUAUGGCGAAGGCAGCUCUCUGGGACGGUACUGACGCUGAGACGCGAAAGCGUGGGGAGCGAACAGG
rnacentral:rRNA from 1 species